GAAUAGCCCCGAUAGCAGCGGCAUCCUUUUUUUGCGAUGGACAAUGCCUGGCAAAAAAGAUACAGCGGAUAGCGGGAUAAGCU
rnacentral:sRNA from 1 species